CCUUUCCCCCCCCGCCCCGUUCUCCCCCCCCCCCCCUCCCCGGGCCGGCACCGUCAGACGGGCGGCACUGCCGAGCCCAGCCCAGCCCGCCGCCAUGGCCCAGCCCGCCAGGCCCUCCGCUGGCUACCCCAGCCAAAACGGUGCCGGCCAGCAGCCCUAUAGCAACGGUCCGGUUCCAAAUCAGCUGAUGCAUUCAUCAGACGGCCAGCGAUAUAGUCCUUUGGUUCCAGGAUCAUACUCUCAUCAGAUGCCAGCAAAGGUUCCUCCCCACCAGUCCUCUGGACAGUACAACUAUAGUGGCUCUCAGAAUGUUUCUCAAUUAAACAAUUAUCAGGGACCCGGGCAGACUCUCAACAGACCACCAGUGGCACCUUUCUCUGGGUCGCCAGUACAACAGACAGGUCCUGGUCCACAAGUGCUGCUGCCUGCAUUGCAAAACUCAGCUGCUAUCUCAUCUGCUGGUAGCUUUCCUCCUGGAGCUAGCCCACCAGUGCUUUCAAACUGGCAGUACAGCCAGACUCCUGUGAGUCAGCCAGUUGGGUCUCAAACAAGCCAUUUGGCUCAUGUGACGGGGACAGGGUCAGCUCAGCCACCGUCAUCUUUAUCAGGAAAUACAAAUCCUCCAGGAAAUUAUCAAUAUGCUGCUUCUCCGGGAGGUCCUCCACUUCAGAACAGCUAUAUGAAGCCAGGAUCUGCACCUCCACCAGUGACUCAGCCUUUAACUCCACUCCACCCCCCUGCAAGGCCACCUUUAGGACCUCCACCAGUUGGUGGUCCACCUUUAAUUAGGCCAUCAACACUGAUAGCAGGACCACCUAAUACACAGUCUCUGCUAAAUUCAGCUGCAAAUCAAGAAGGCGAUACUACAUCUGCUGCCAGUGAUGGGUCUGUGGUCCAAAACAGCUACGAUGCAAUAGAAGGUGGUGGCCUUAUGGCAACUCCACAUCCUUCUCCUGCACCCCCAAAUCUUAAGAUGAAUAGAAGUGUUGGAUAUUCUUACCCUACCUUACCUCCAGGCUACCAAAAUACUUCACCUGGAGCACCAGGGAUGCAAGCGUCUGCUUUGCAAUAUCCAGAUGGAUCAAAACAUUUCCACCAGCCUGCCCUGGGCACUAAUCACUUAACUGCAUCUAUGGGUGGCCUGAGUCUACAGCAAGAAGGAUUAAGACCUGUGAACCUUCUUCAAGAAAGAAAUAUUCUUCCUACGACCCUCUUGAAGGCUCCUGUCCCAAACUUGCAUGAAGACAUCCAGAAGCUCAAUUGUAACCCUGAGUUGUUCCGCUGUACCCUGACUAACAUUCCUCAAACUCAGGCCUUACUGAAUAAAGCCAAGCUUCCUCUGGGGCUCCUGCUUCAUCCUUUCAAAGACUUAUCGCAAUUACCAGUGGUGACUUCAAGUACCAUUGUGAGAUGCCGUUCCUGCCGAACAUACAUUAACCCUUUUGUCAGCUUUCUAGACCAAAGGAGAUGGAAAUGCAAUUUGUGCUAUAGAGUGAAUGAUGUUCCUGAAGAAUUCAUGUAUAAUCCUGUGACAAGAGUUUAUGGAGAGCCUCAUAAAAGACCUGAAGUCCAGAAUGCUACUAUUGAGUUUAUGGCUCCAUCUGAAUACAUGCUACGUCCGCCUCAGCCACCUGUGUACCUCUUUGUGUUUGAUGUCUCUCAUAAUGCAAUAGAGACAGGAUACUUGAAUACAGUCUGCCAGACCUUGUUAGACAAUCUUGACUUGCUUCCUGGGAACACUAGAACGAAAAUAGGCUUCAUAACGUUUGACAGCACAAUCCAUUUCUACAGUCUUCAGGAAGGUCUCUCUCAGCCUCAGAUGCUUAUAGUUUCAGAUAUUGAAGAUGUAUUUAUACCAAUGCCAGAAAACUUAUUAGUAAAUUUAAAUGAAAAUAAAGAGCUAAUUCAAGAUCUGUUGAAGACCUUGCCACAGAUGUUUACCAAGUCCCUGGAAACUCAGAGUGCUCUGGGGCCUGCAUUACAGGCUGCCUUUAAACUGAUGUCCCCCACUGGAGGUAGAAUCUCUGUCUUCCAGACUCAGCUUCCGUCUGUGGGAAUGGGAGCACUAAAGUCACGAGAAGAGCCAAACCAAAGAGCAACUGCAAAGGACAUACAUCUGACACCAUCGACUGAUUUUUAUAAGAAAUUAGCCUUGGACUGCUCAGGGCAACAGGUUGCAGUGGAUUUAUUUCUCCUUAGUGGACAAUAUUCUGAUUUGGCUUCCCUAGGUUGUAUAUCAAGAUAUUCUGCAGGUAGUGUCUAUUACUACCAGUCUUACCAUCAUAAACACAACCCUGUCCAGGUGGAGAAAUUGCAAAAGGAACUGAAACGCUAUUUAACUAGAAAGAUUGGGUUUGAGGCUGUCAUGAGGAUAAGAUGCACCAAAGGUCUCUCCAUUCAUACUUUCCAUGGGAACUUCUUCGUACGAUCUACAGACUUGUUGUCAUUACCCAACGUAAACCCAGAUGCGGGAUAUGCUGUGCAGAUGUCAGUGGAAGAGAGUCUUACUGAUAUGCAAGUUGUUUCUUUUCAGUCAGCUCUCCUGUACACAUCCAGCAAAGGUGAAAGGCGAAUUCGUGUCCACACUAUGUGCCUACCUGUUGUAACAACACUGAGUGAUGUCUACCUAGGGGCAGAUGUGCAAGCCAUCACUGGGCUGCUAGCCAAUAUGGCUGUGGACCGAUCAGUUUCUGCUACUUUAAGUGAUGCUCGGGAUGCCUUGGUCAACGCAGUGAUAGAUUCUUUAUCUGCUUACCGUUCAUCAGUCCUAAGCAUUCAACAACCUGGUCUCAUGGCCCCCUACUCACUACGACUCUUUCCACUUUAUGUCCUGGCACUCUUAAAACAGAAAGCAUUUCAAACUGGGACGAAUGCACGUUUAGAUGAACGCAUUUUUACCAUGUGUCAAGUGAAAAACCAGCCCCUUGUUUACCUCAUGCUUAUGACACAUCCCAGUCUGUACAGAGUUGAUAAUCUCACAGAUGAGGGGGCUCUUAACAUAAAUGAUAAAACUAUACCUCAGCCACCCAUUCUCCAGCUGUCAGUGGAGAAGUUGAGUAGGGAUGGUGCUUACCUGAUGGAUGCUGGCUCUGUAAUGUUCCUGUGGAUUGGGAAGAACUGUGGGCAGAGCUUUAUCAGCCAAGUCCUUGGAGUUCCAAAUUAUGGCUCAAUACCGCAAAAUAUGACUCAUCUCCCAGAACUUGAAACUGCAGAAUCCAUCAGAACAGUAGCUUUCAUUUCCUGGCUGAGAGAGCAGAGACCUUUCUUUCCUAUACUAUAUAUAAUAAAGGACGACAGUCCAUUGAAAUCAAGUUUUCUGCAAAAUAUGAUUGAAGACAGAACAGAAUCAGCCUUAUCAUACUAUGAAUUCCUCCUUCAUAUACAGCAGCAAGUGAAUAAAUGAAACACUAGCCUUUGGCUCACUUCUUUAAGGAAAGAUUUUGCAGUAAAGAACGAUUGUGCUUGUAAUAUCUUCAUUUAAAUCUGUGGCCUGAGGCAGUUGAUGAGAAGUUCUCACUGUGAUUUCAACGAACUAAAGCAAAUAAAGGACCACAUCUGAGAAUCAAAUGUGCAACUACAUAAUAUUGUACCUUAAAAAAAAUCAAACUGUUGGAACUGGUUGAGCACCUUUAAUUUGCUGCAAAUCAUGUUUUUACUAUAUAAAACCUCACAAAAUGAUAAUGAUUUGCAGGGAAAUUCUUUCUAAGUGCAUCCAGUGAUUACAGACAGAGCAUCUCAAUGUUCAACUUAAUGCUUAAAGUAGCAAUGAAGCAACUGUUCAUUGGGAAACGAACAAAUACUUAUGAAGCAUAGAAUCCAGUGCUUGGAUUGGAUUAUGGCUAAUAGGACUAAAGGUAAGCUUAACCUGGACAAGAUGGCUAAAUUUGUUAAAGCUUUUAAUUAGUCAGUAUUUUAAUUAAAAAAUAGUGGGGAGCAGCCAGCCCUAUGCGAAACACUUCUUUAAAAGUCAGUGGCUGAGUCAGCAGCAAAAGUAGACUUAGGUAGAUGGCAAGCUUUGUUUUUAUUCAGUAAAAGGAAUAGUUUUAAUUUCAGUUUUUGAAUGAUGUGGGAGGGGAAGGGCAAGGAAGGUUCCCUCAUUUUUUGGUUUACUUAUAGUAGACUUCUGGCUCUCGUUUACAUUAACUGAACCUUAGGCCCCUAAAAUCUUAGUGCAUUUCUGAAUCAUGUAUGACAGCACUUCAAACGUAACGUUUUGAGACAACAUUGAAUAUUCUGAUGUUAAAAUUGGAAAAAAAAAAAAAAAAAUGUCCAAAGACAAAAAUAUUAUAUUGCGUUUGAAGCUUUGUUUAUGGUUUGAGACAUGCUUGAAGUUUUCAAAAAUUAUUUUUUUUUACUGCAGCUAUGUAAUAAGUGUAGCUCCAAAGCCAGUGUGUACCAAAUAAAAGCUUUAAAUAUACUCAGAUCCCUGCCAGAGCUACAGAUGGAAGUUGACAUUGGACUUGGAAGUGAAAAUUUAUAUACAAAAAUAUUUGAAUCAUUUUAUAGAAGUGUAUUGAUAAUUGUUCUGGUUUUGAGAUUAAGCUAUCAUUGAUAGCUACCAACAUAGAGUAUUUAAGUUACUGUAUCCCUAUGCCCAUGAAAGUAUUACAUAUGGAAAAACUUUGGUUUGUUUUUUUGUUCACCAGUGGUAAACUUAAAGGUCUUGCAAAACCUACUUCCCGGGGCAAGUAACUUGAACAGGUAAAACACAAGUGGUGAAACAUGAACUGUGAUUAGGCUAGUUAACUUACAUUUUGUGAUACAAAUGUCAAAGGACAUCAUAGGGUAAUCAUUUGCUGCCAUUUCAGGAUGUAGCUGCAUGUGACUGUCAGGAGUUGCCUUACUUCAAGGGAGGAGUUUCUUUGGGGAAAUUGUUCUUGUCACUUGAGCACAAGAAGCUGAAGUUCAGAACAAUGUCUAAAAUAGCAUGAAAAUACUAUUAUAGAACCAAUUUAAGCUUCCCUGUCUGCUGUCUUCAUAGCAAACAGGAGUAUUCUUACUUGAACAGCUUUUCAGAGAAUUGCACAGUUUCUAGUCAUAGUGAAGAGGUUUUUUAAGUUUUAACAGUCUGAUUUUUUUUUUUUUUUUUCUGGGGGAAAUGGGCUCAUCAUUUAAAUCAUAAAUGGAAGCUAUGCACUUGCAUAGGUUAUGACUUAAAACUUGUGUUUUGGCUAUGUUAUCACUCGGAUGUUGAAAAUCAUCCUUGCAUCCUUUGCCCACCCAAAGUCUGUUUCUUACUAUGACUGUAUUUUGCUACUAUAUCCCUUAUUUUUUUUUUAAAUCAUAAACAUUGGAGAUGGCUUCAUUGCUUUAUGUACACCAGACUAAUGGGUAAAGGUAUCAGUCUUUGUGGCAAUUAACAACUCGGAAGAAGAGUCCCUAAGUUUUACAGAGCAAAACAUUAUAAACAAGAAUCAGAUGAACCCUCUUGGAGUUCUCUUCAUUUGGAAGAAAUUCUGUACUGAACUAUGUUAGUUUAUUCCCUCACAGAGGGAAAGGCUAGCUGGUUCACCUUGUAUUGCUGUAAGGGCAGUAUGGGACAGACGAAGACACAAACCUACCUAUGAUGUGUCAUUUUUACCUACAAUUUAAAAAUGAGGACACUGAAGAUGAACUGCAAGAAUAGGCAAGAGUGGCUCUGGUACUUAGAUCUCAGCACGACAACUCUACCACUGCAAAUGUACUCUAUUUUUCUAGUUGAAAACUUUUUUUUUUUUAAACUAUUUCUGUAUUUGACACAUUAGUGUUCGGCCAACAUUGUUACCAUCCAUUUUCCUUUGCUUUCAUUAUCUUUUUUAAUUUAAUAUAUUUGAGUCUUAAGUCCAUGUAGAUUGUGUUGCAAUAACUCGAAUGAUUCUCUUUUAUUUAGAAUUAAUUUCUUAACAGAAUUUAAUCAAAGAUACAGAAUGGCUGUUAAAUAUAAGGGACCAUUAAAUGUGAUUUUAAAGUUCUGUUUACUAUUAUGGAUGUAAUCCUUAUAGUAAAUUUAAUUUUGUAAAGUAGUGUAUAAUAUUGUAAUAUUAAAUCUUUGUUUUCUGAACUCAAACAUUUGAUCUUCAGUAUGAAGUUAUAAAUCUUCCCCCUUCUGAAUUUGAGACAGGAUUUACUUGUCCUCCUUUUUACAGUUUGUAAUUUUCACUGUUUUAUUCCUGUAAAAAGUCAUUUGUAACACAUGCAAAUGCUUAUUUUAUCUGUGCUAAUUUAUCAGAUUUGGCUACUCAAUAAAAUUAAUUGAAAGAA